rnacentral:rRNA from 1 species
UACGUAGGGGGCAAGCGUUGUCCGGAUUUAUUGGGCGUAAAGAGCGUGUAGGCGGCCAGAUAGGUCAGCUGUGAAAACUCGGGGGCUCAACCCUGAGACGUCGGUUGAAACCAUCUGGCUAGAGUCCGGAAGAGGAGUGUGGAAUUCCCGGUGUAGCGGUGAAAUGCGCAGAUAUCAGGAAGAACACCAAUGGCGAAAAGCAGCUCUCUGGGACGGUACUGACGCUGAGACGCGAAAGCGUGGGGAGCGAACAGG